UACGUAGGGUGCGAGCGUUAUUCGGAAUUACUGGGCGUAAAGCGUGCGCAGGCGGUUAUUUAAGUCAGGUGUGAAAGCCCUGGGCUUAACCUAGGAAUUGCGCUUGAGACUGGAUAGCUUGGAGUGCGGCAGAGGGAGGUGGAAUUCCACGUGUAGCAGUGAAAUGCGUAGAGAUGUGGAGGAACACCGAUGGCGAAGGCAGCCUCCUGGGCCAGCACUGACGCUCAUGCACGAAAGCGUGGGGAGCAAACAGG
rnacentral:rRNA from 1 species